CCUACGGGCGGCAGCAGUGAGGAAUAUUGGUCAAUGGACGAGAGUCUGAACCAGCCAAGUAGCGUGAAGGAUGACUGCCCUAUGGGUUGUAAACUUCUUUUAUAUGGGAAUAAAACGUUCCACGUGUGGGAUUUUGUAUGUACCAUUUGAAUAAGGAUUGGCUAACCUCGUGCCAGCAGCCCCGGUAAUUCGGAGGAUCCGAGGGUUAUCCGGAUUUUUUGGGUUUAAAGGGAUCGUAGGUGGAUUGUUAAGUCAGUUGUGAAAGUUUGCGGCUCAACCGUAAAAGUGCAGUUGAAACUGGCAGUCUUGAGUACAGUAGAGGUGGGCGGAAUUCGUGGUGUAGCGGUGAAAUGCUUAGAUAUCACGAAGAACUCCGAUUGCGAAGGCAGUUCACUGGACUGCAACUGACACUGAGGCUCGAAAGUGUGGGUAUCAAACAGGAUUAGAUACCCUUGUAGUC
rnacentral:rRNA from 1 species